UUUGCUGGUAGGAACUGCAUAAAAAGCAUGGGGGAGUGUUCGCUAUGUCAGUGGCUUCAUAACAGGUGUUACAGGUUCUUUUGAUUGAUACAGGAAAGAUGCAGUGUACAGAACCACAACUGGCAUCAUUAUAUGUUGGUUAUAAAUUAUAAAUUGUCAGUCAUCUAAAGUCAUUCUUCAAAACCUCGCUGUCUCAUACACUAGCAAAAAGGGGAGUUAAAUGAGAAUGUAGCAAAAAUCAACAUCCAGCACCUUUCAAGUCUUUGCUAGUGGCACUAUUCUCAAACAAUAAUGGUUCUCACUUCACAGGUCAGAGCACCACUACUGAAAUUCAGCUCUCUAUUAAAACUACAUUCUGUGACUGAAGAAAUAAAAACAGACUAAUCUGUGCUUCCACUGAUUGCACUUCAGACAACCUGAGGAUAAUACCUUAUCACCUGACUUCCAUGCAUGUUCACUCUGAUUGGAGGAUAAAAUAGGUAUUUUAUAUUUAUGGAAGUCAGUGUCUCACUGCUAUAUUUGUUUUCACCUAACUAUUUGUUCUCUCAAUGUCCUGCCUUCUACCUGCAUAGUACCUCAUGCCAGUAUCCAAGAAAAUUUGAGCAAUUUUGAUGCUACUGAAUGCCAUAAAUUACUGGUAUGUUUUCAUCAGGCCCAUCCCAGAAUCACAUUUUAAAGAACGAUUUCUUCUGGCCAUUCCUAACACCAAUUAUUGCAUCAGUCAAGAUCUCAGUGAAAGAGAAAUGGCACAUUUAAACAGGGUACCUGAAGAAAGUCUACCGAGAGAUAAUAUAUAAAAUUUGGGUAGGUUAAAGGAAAUCAGCAAAGGUGGUAAAGCUCCUCAAGAAAAGUAAGAUUACAGGAGUUAUUACUUUUGGGCCUGAUUAUGAGGGAGUAAAUUUAGGAACUUAUUUAAACCUGUAGAUACAGGAGAUGACUAUCUGAUAUAGCUAUGGACUUUUGUAGAAAAUAGAGACAUUAUCAACUUGAGAACCAUUAGGGAGACUAAAUAACCCCCUUUCUUUCCUUCCAUUUACCUGUAUUUUGCUCUGCUUUUUAUAAGUGAAACCCAAACAGGAACCAGACAACAACAAGCCAAAUUCAUACUGCAGAUAAAGGUCAGCCUUCUAGGAAACAGAGCAUGUCAGAAAAAGGAAGAAGGCAGAUAUAGGGGUGCAAGUAAUGAACAUCCAGCACACAAGAUAAUAAUAUCCUGUCCAAUUAGAAAUGUGAUAUUGAAAUUCAGCCCAAGCACCUUGUAGCAAGGCAUUUGUGACAAGUAAACUGUACUGACUUGCACAGUAAGUUACUGGUUUAGGGAGAAGAAGAACGAAUAUCCAUUAAUCAGAUGCCUAUGAUAUUCAGACAGAGUACCAGCUGCUGAUUUACAUAAUUCUCAGAACAAUCAGCAAAG